rnacentral:rRNA from 1 species
UACGAAGGGGACUAGCGUUGUUCGGAUUUACUGGGCGUAAAGCGCGCGUAGGCGGAUCGCUAAGUCAGGGGUGAAAUCCCAGGGCUCAACCCUGGAACUGCCUUUGAUACUGACGAUCUGGAGAUCGGGAGAGGUUGGUGGAAUUCCGAGUGUAGAGGUGAAAUUCGUAGAUAUUCGGAGGAACACCAGAAGCGAAGGCGGCCAACUGGCCCGAUACUGACGCUGAGGCGCGAAAGCCAGGGGAGCAAACGGG